rnacentral:rRNA from 1 species
UGGGGAAUAUUGGACAAUGGGCGAAAGCCUGAUCCAGCCAUGCCGCGUGUGUGAAGAAGGUCUUCGGAUUGUAAAGCACUUUAAGUUGGGAGGAAGGGCAGUUACCUAAUACGUGAUUGUCUUGACGUUACCGACAGAAUAAGCACCGGCUAACUCUGUGCCAGCAGCCGCGGUAAUACAGAGGGUGCAAGCGUUAAUCGGAAUUACUGGGCGUAAAGCGCGCGUAGGUGGUUUGUUAAGUUGAAUGUGAAAGCCCCGGGCUCAACCUGGGAACUGCAUCCAAAACUGGCAAGCUAGAGUAUGGUAGAGGGUAGUGGAAUUUCCUGUGUAGCGGUGAAAUGCGUAGAUAUAGGAAGGAACACCAGUGGCGAAGGCGACUACCUGGACUGAUACUGACACUGAGGUGCGAAAGCGUGGGGAGCAAACA